rnacentral:rRNA from 1 species
CCUGGCUCAGGACGAACGCGGGCGGCGUGCCUAAUACAUGCAAGUCGAGCGGACAGAAGGGAGCUUGCUCCCGGAUGUUAGCGGCGGACGGGUGAGUAACACGUGGGUAACCUGCCUGUAAGACUGGGAUAACUCCGGGAAACCGGAGCUAAUACCGGAUAGUUCCUUGAACCGCAUGGUUCAAGGAUGAAAGACGGUUUCGGCUGUCACUUACAGAUGGACCCGCGGCGCAUUAGCUAGUUGGUGAGGUAACGGCUCACCAAGGCGACGAUGCGUAGCCGACCUGAGAGGGUGAUCGGCCACACUGGGACUGAGACACGGCCCAGACUCCUACGGGAGGCAGCAGUAGGGAAUCUUCCGCAAUGGACGAAAGUCUGACGGAGCAACGCCGCGUGAGUGAUGAAGGUUUUCGGAUCGUAAAGCUCUGUUGUUAGGGAAGAACAAGUGCAAGAGUAACUGC